GAUGAAGAACGUAGUGAAACGCGAUAUGUAAUGUGAAUUGCAGAAUUCAGUGAAUCAUCGAAUCUUUGAACGCACAUUGCGCCCCUUGGUAUUCCAUGGGGCAUGCCUGUUCGAGCGUCAUUUGUACCUUCAAGCUCUGCUUGGUGUUGGGUGUUUGUCUCGCCUCUGCGUGUAGACUCGCCUCAAAACAAUUGGCAGCCGGCGUAUUGAUUUCGGAGCGCAGUACAUCUCGCGCUUUGCACUCAUAACGACGACGUCCAAAAGUACAUUUUUACACUCUUGACCUCGGAUCAGGUAGGGAUACCCGCUGAACUUAAGCAUAUCAAUAAGCGGAGGA
rnacentral:misc_RNA from 1 species